rnacentral:rRNA from 1 species
UACGGAGGGGGCGAGCGUUAUUCGGAAUUAUUGGGCGUAAAGGGCGCGUAGGCGGCUUGUCGCGUCGACUGUGAAAACCCGUGGCUCAACCAUGUGGUCUGCAGUCGAUACGGGCAGGCUAGAAUUCGGUAGGGGAGACUGGAAUUCCUGGUGUAGCGGUGAAAUGCGCAGAUAUCAGGAGGAACACCGGUGGCGAAGGCGGGUCUCUGGGCCGAUAUUGACGCUGAGGAGCGAAAGCGUGGGGAGCGAACAGG